ACCAGGAUGGCCAAGUGGUUAAGGCGUUGGACUUAAGAUUCAAUGGAUAUACAUCUGCGUGAGUUUGAACCCCACUCCUGGUU